AUCGGGGUUGCGGACAGUGUCUGGUGGGUAGUUUGACUGGGGCGGUCUCCUCCCAAAGAGUAACGGAGGAGCACGAAGGUUAGCUAAUCCUGGUCGGACAUCAGGAGGUUAGUGCAAUGGCAUAAGCUAGCUUGACUGCGAGCGUGACGGCGCGAGCAGGUGCGAAAGCAGGUCAUAGUGAUCCGGUGGUUCUGAAUGGAAGGGCCAUCGCUCAACGGAUAAAAGGUACUCCGGGGAUAACAGGCUGAUACCGCCCAAGAGUUCAUAUCGACGGCGGUGUUUGGCACCUCGAUGUCGGCUCAUCACAUCCUGGGGCUGAAGUAGGUCCCAAGGGUAUGGCUGUUCGCCAUUUAAAGUGGUACGCGAGCUGGGUUUAGAACGUCGUGAGACAGUUCGGUCCCUAUCUGCCGUGGGCGCUGGAGAAUUGAGGGGGGCUGCUCCUAGUACGAGAGGACCGGAGUGGACGCAUCACUGGUGUUCGGGUUGUCAUGCCAAUGGCAUUGCCCGGUAGCUAAAUGCGGAAGAGAUAAGUGCUGAAAGCAUCUAAGCACGAAACUUGCCCCGAGAUGAGUUCUCCCUGAGACUUUAAGUCUCCUGAAGGAACGUUAAAGACGAUGACGUUGAUAGGUCGGGUGUGUAAGCGUAGCGAUACGUUGAGCUAACCGAUACUAAUGAACCGUGAGG
rnacentral:rRNA from 1 species